rnacentral:tRNA from 1 species
GCGUCUGUAGCCUAGUUGGUAAAGGCACGCACUCUAGUAUGUGUGUCAGCAUAGCUGAGGUUGUUAGUUCGACCCUCACCAGACACA